CCCAAAUACCCGCUAUCUUUAUUGUUUGCCGCUCCCUCCCCAAAUUCCCUAUUUUUCUCUUGAACUCCAUUUCUUCUCUCUUUCUCCAUAUCCCUUCUUCUUCUCGCAAAUCCAUGGAAGACCACAGUCAAGCCCGCGGGGUGAGCAUUCGCGAAGGCGGAGCACGAAGAGGCUUGCGAAGGCCUGACGUUGCUCACAGCGGAGGUGUGCGGUGGCUCGCAGCGAAGGCAAAGCUGGGUUGACGAUGGGCGCAAGGAUGGGGCUGGAUCUCUCAGAGUGGAACAGGAAUGGUUUCAGCAUCUAUUUGGUUUUUAGUUGCAGAGAUUGUUUUUUAAUGUGCAGGUAUAUAUAUGUAUAUAUGGCGCAGAAAAGAAAGUGAUGAAAUUCCAUGACUGUCUUUACCACAAAUAAAGACUAUGGAAAAGAAGAGAGAGAAGCACAAUGGGCUGCAACACAGAAGACACUCCAUGGUCUUCAACCACCGGAAUCCAACAAUAUUUUCCCGAAAAAAGUAGUUUCAGGGAGCUUUCAUAGAUUGCAGAACAAGCCAAGCGCAGGGCUGAGGUGGCAAGACUUAGGGAGUUGCAUACACUCAAGGGUCAUGUUAAGUCAGUGGUGAAGUUGAAAGGUACCUUUCCUGACACACUCUCACUCUCACCAGGUACACACACAUAUUUUAUUCAUUUUAUUUCAGUUUUAACUUCAUUUUUUUUCUCUCUCUCUCUGUCUCUGAUUUGCUACUACGAAGAAAAUCACCCAAAACCAGUUUUGAUUUUGUGGUAUAUAUAUGUAUUUAUUUAUAUAUGAUUUACAGUUGGUUGAUAAAUAUAUGAGAUUUGUAGUUGGUUUUUGUUUUUGUUGAUAAAUAAAUAUGAUCUAUAGAUUUGUUUUUGUUUAUAUCUGUAGUUUUUUUAUUUGUUUUGAGAUUUGUUUAAUGGAGUGAAAAAGUGAGACUUUGGUGGAAAAAUAUGUCUAAUUUUUGUAUGAUUGUCAUUAGUUGCACUGAUUUAAGGAGGUUUUGUUAUAUUCUUGGUUUUCCAAAUUUAAAGCUUGUGGUGCUUGAUUACAUGAUUUGUUAUGUUUUACAGGUUAAAUUUUUUGUUGUAUUAAUUUUAUUCUCUCUUUUUUGUGUCUAAAAGGGGAAAGUUUUUGGGUUUUCUAUGUAAAUUAUGUUAGGAGUGUGUCCUAAAAGUAUGUAAUGUAAAGACAUUUGUUUUUUCUGUGAAUAAAUAAAUACAAUGGUUUAUUAUUAUUGUCAUAUUUAGAUUAUUAAAUUAUUGUUUGAAUAAUUUUGUAAAUAUCAUAAAAAUUCCAUAUUCAUUAUCGAGGGUGUGAUCUUGUAUUAGUACGAGAGAAUUAAGAUCACAUGAAUGAAUAAAAAUAG